rnacentral:lncRNA from 1 species
GGGGACACCAAAGAUCUGCUCUGGGGCUUGGAAGGAACCAGGGGGACUUUUCCUUUCAACAGGCACCGCUGUGGCAGGAAAAAUGAAACCCCCUUUUCAACACUGCCCUUUCAUAGUCGCCAAGGAGAGCCUUCGCGAGCUGGUGAUAAUUUCAACUUCAUUCUGGAAAUGUGUAAGAGAUUGCCAUUUUCUUGCCAUUUUAUCCUGAAAUGACAUCAGAUUGGAGAGUUGCCUCGCUUUUGAGAGUGGCUGGGCAAGGCUCCUGGCAAGGCAGGGCUGGAGGGAGAAGCCUGAAGGGUCUGGGCAGGUUGAGUGAUUGAGGAGCAGGAGAGUUUGCAGAAAAUUCUGAAAGACAGACAAAGCCAAAGUAACUCUAGCUUCUCGCAGAAGACCCCCAAAGAGGACCAGCCCCAAACAGGACCGGCUGAAGGGAGGGCAGAGGGGAGGCUGCAGGAAGACAACGGGGCAGAGACACAACCAGCUAUUAUCCAUUAGAGGUAGAGCCUGACUCCGGGAGGGGCGGGAGCCUCCUCUCCAGUGUUAGCCACCAACGUCGGAAAAGCAGUAGAAGGAAUUGGCAAAGCAGCUACUCUCCUGGGAGACAGACCUAAUGGGCCUGUUUCAUCUUGGGCCUUAUGAGGCUGGGGUCCUGUUUCAGGUAGCGACUCCUUAAUGAGGCCCAGCGUGGAGAGGCUGUACAGCUGAGCUAUCUAUCACACAGCGAUAAACAGGGCUCCUCUUGUUUCCUGUCUUUUUCUGCUACAGAAUCCAGUCCCAUCCAUCCUCCUAAGUGACGAGCCAUGGUCAACACCCCGUUUUUCCCAUCUACGGCUGGAGGAUAAUGAUGCCAGUUCUCAUUGUGCUUCUAGACCUUGGGACCC